rnacentral:rRNA from 1 species
UACGAAGGGGGCUAGCGUUGCUCGGAAUUACUGGGCGUAAAGGGCGCGUAGGCGGAUAGUUUAGUCAGAGGUGAAAGCCCAGGGCUCAACCUUGGAACUGCCUUUGAUACUGGCUAUCUUGAGUUCGGGAGAGGUGAGUGGAAUGCCGAGUGUAGAGGUGAAAUUCGUAGAUAUUCGGCGGAACACCAGUGGCGAAGGCGACUCACUGGCCCGAUACUGACGCUGAGGCGCGAAAGCGUGGGGAGCAAACAGGAUUAGAUACCCUGGUAGUCCACGCUGUAAACGAUGAGUGCUAGUUGUCGGCAUGCAUGCAUGUCGGUGACGCAGCUAACGCAUUAAGCACUCCGCCUGGGGAGUACGGUCGCAAGAUUA